UAUCACAGGACGAACUCCAUGAAUUGGAAAGCUAGGCCAACGCAAACAAAGAAUCACCUGAAUUUCGAUGGUUCAAGACCAUUUGGGAGAAGAAUGCUUGGGUUGACAGCGUGGCUAUUGACAAGUACGUCGAUUUCUUGGAGAGAAGACACCAAUCAUUUCCUCUAUUAUAUACAAAGGAUUGCAAGUUCUGUCCUACAUAUUUCAUGCCAUGUAUCGGCAUGCAAAUGUCGACAUUGCGAAUAUAUCGGGAUGUUGGCAGUGACGAUUCGCGUUUAUUAUUUGAAGGGAUAGAAAAACUCUCUUCGAUCAACAUUGUCAAGCUGUAUGAGGGGCAGAAGGCCAUGUGGCAACAUGAAGAGGUACUGGUGUCGUUACAAGUUAUCAAUGCUAGGUAUACCCAAAUCUAUAAUUUCUAGAUAUUGAUAUCUUAUCUUGCCAAACAUGGACAGGCAUAUGUACCAAUCAAUCACGCCAACAGUCAUUGGUACCUGAUGGUCAUCCACCCUCGAGAUCGAUGAAUCAUUAUACUUGACAGUUUAUACUCGAGGACACUCAAUCGAUACAGGCAACAUAUUGAUCUGAUGAAGGAGGCCUUGCCUAUAUUAUUUUA